AUGCCUCCUGGUAGCGAGGGCGAGAACGCGCCGCUGAUGAGCGCCACCGACCGCAUCGGCGCACUCCCUGACCAUAUGCUCCACCACCUGCUCUCUUUCCUCCCAGCGCAGGCAGCCGUGCGGACGUGCGUGCUUGCCCGGCGCUGGCGCCACCUUUGGAAGUACACUACAGGCCUGCGCAUCGUAGGCCUUGGGGAUGAGGGGCCUGUCCAUGUCCAUGACCUCCAGAAAUUCGUGGACCAUCUGCUGAUCUUGCGUGAGCGCACCGACCUAAACACUGUUGAGAUCAAGUUGGACAAUUUCUUGGAAGAAGACCAGCCCUAUGUGAACCUAUGGACACGCUUUGCUAUGAAUUGCAAAGUCCGGGCGCUCACCCUUCAUAUCCGUGACAAUCAAUACCUCUACAUAGACAACCUGCCUCUUGUCUCUCGGCAUCUGAGAACACUGGACCUUCAUGGAGUAGCCCUACAAAAAAGCUUUCUUGAUUUUGCUAGCUGUCCAGAAUUGGAGGAUAUGAGGAUGGAUACUUGCCUCAUCAGUGUCAAUAAGAUAUCGUCUCGCUCCCUGAAGCAUUUGAGUAUCACCGGUUGCCGUUCUGACUUGGAUUGCCGGAUCCAUGUUUCUACUCCGGGCCUUGUCUCUCUGGAACUAGAUGCGUCUGAUGGUUUAACCCCUUUUCUUGAAAACAUGGCGCUGCUAGAGACCGCAUUUGUCUAUCUAGACGAUGAUUGCGAAGAUGUCUGUUUGAAUUACGUCUCUGGUGUUUUUUGUGGAGCUAACAAUGAUACGUGUAAGAAUUGUGUUCCUAUUGGUACCAAUUGCAGCAGCAAUUGUGUGCUUCUGGGUGGUAUCUCAAGUGCUAAACACCUCAAGUUGAUAUCUGAAACAGGAAAGUUUAUCUUCUCAAGAGAUUUGAAACACUGCCCUACAUUUACCAAGUUAAAGACUUUGUUACUCAAUGAUUACUGGUGCGAGGCUCCUGAUAUGGAUCCACUAUCUUGCAUUCUGAAAAACUCACCAGUUCUAGAGAAGCUCACUCUUGAACUUUUCCCAAAGGGACAAACUCCGAAAGUGCAAAUGAAAGGAAGCUACUGUUGCAUGCAGAGACCCUCUGCAAUAUCAGAGCACCUCAAGAUAGUUGAAGUCAAGUGUGAUGUGGUCAACAAGAGAAUCGCCAAAGUUUUAAAGUUCCUGUGUGCAUUUAGUGCAUUUGACAUACGAUUCAGUUUCGAGUAA
rnacentral:rRNA from 1 species